rnacentral:lncRNA from 10 species
GGAGAACAGAGUUGUUACUGCAAUGAUCAGUUAUAAAAUGUCAAGCUGGAAGAGGUGCAUUUGGUCUGCUUAUUUUAAAGGUGAGUGAAGUCCAGAAAGGCCAGCUUGUGGCAGAAAUAGGUCAGUCCUAGAAGUUGGGCCUCCUGGCCUACCAUGGUCUUUGGACCACUCUGUGUUGAGGAAAGAACAUCAGAUACACAGACAUGUGCCUCUGCCAUUGUUGGGAAGCCCUGACUAAGAAUGGGAAGGAGUCACCCCGUCCCCCCUCCUUGCUCUAGGGUGACCCCACUCUUCCUUGCAGGUGUCUGCUGACUCCAGUGCAUCCAUGAACUCUGGGGUUCUUCUGGUUCGGCCAUCACGGCUCUCCUCCAGUGGGACUCCCAUGCUAGCAGGGGUCUCUGAGUAUGAGCUUCCCGAAGACCCUCGCUGGGAGCUGCCUCGGGACAGACUGGUCUUAGGCAAACCCCUGGGAGAGGGCUGCUUUGG